UACAGAGGGUGCAAGCGUUGUUCGGAAUUAUUGGGCGUAAAGGGCUCGUAGGCGGUCUGUCGCGUCGGUAGUGAAAACUCAGGGCUUAACCCUGAGCCUGCUUCCGAUACGGGCAGACUAGAGGUAUGCAGGGGAGAAUGGAAUUCCUGGUGUAGCGGUGAAAUGCGCAGAUAUCAGGAGGAACACCAGUGGCGAAGGCGGUUCUCUGGGCAUUACCUGACGCUGAGGAGCGAAAGUGUGGGGAGCGAACAGG
rnacentral:rRNA from 1 species